rnacentral:rRNA from 1 species
UACGAAGGGGGCGAGCGUUGUUCGGAAUUACUGGGCGUAAAGGGCGCGCAGGCGGCCUUAGAAGUCAGAUGUGAAAGCCCCGGGCUCAACCUGGGAAUGGCAUUUGAUACUCUGAGGCUGGAGUACGGGAGAGGAGAGUGGAAUUCCCAGUGUAGAGGUGAAAUUCGUAGAUAUUGGGAAGAACACCGGUGGCGAAGGCGGCCAACUGGACCAUUACUGACGCUGAGGAGCGAAAGCAUGGGGAGCGAACAGG